CCCACACGCUAUAAAAUGGAACCUAUUAUUUUACAGAACAAUAAACAUGGCCUUACAGUUUGGACGACGUCUGUUUUUAUCGUAGGAAAUAUAGCAGGUGGUGGCGUAUUAGCCCUACCAAAAGCUGUUGAAGAUACAGGUUGGAUCGGGUUCAUUUUGAUUAUUGUCUUUGGAAUAUUUUCUACAUACACUGCCACAUUAAUUGGUGAAUCGUGGGUAAUCAUUCAAGAACGGUAUCCAGAAUAUCGAUCACAUGUGCCAGAUCCUUAUCCAGUAAUUGGGGAGAAAGCAUAUGGCAGAAGAGGAAGAAACAUUGUGAACGUUGUGAUGAACAUCUACAACUAUGGCAGUGCUGUGGUAUAUAUGGUGUUAGCUGCUGGAAACAUCGAGACGUUGUUGGCAAAAGUGACAAAAGAUAUAUCUUUGUGCUAUUGGCUAAUCAUAUUAGCCGGAGUCCUAGCACCACUUAUAUGUUUUGGAACACCAACAGAUUUCUGGCCGAUAGGCGUGGGAGCCACGUUUACCACCGGUAUAGCGUGUAUUUUGAUAAUUAUCCAGUCACUAAACGACAAGGACCAACACAAGCCUGUUUCCCAUUCAACUACAGACCCGCUUAAGUUUUCUACAUCAUUCGGAACAAUGGUGUUUGCUGUUAGUGGUCAUUCGGUACUGCCUACCAUAAUAAAUGACAUGAAGAAAAAGGAAGAUUUCAAAAAAGCAGCUUUCCUUGGAUAUGCAAGUAAAUUUUUGUGUUAAUGAUGUAUAUGCCAACAGCAGUUGUAGGAUACAUGGUGUAUGGAGAGAAUCUCAAUGAAAAUAUUAUAAAGAGUGUGUCAGCUGGUCCAUGUGCCUAUACGGUAGAGGUUUUGGUUACGUUACACUUGUUGUUGGGUUUCAUUAUCUUGAUGAACCCUGUCUGUCAACAGUUAGAAGCUAAACUUGGAGUUUCACCAGCAUUCACCUGGAAAAGAUGCGUGGUCAGACCUUUAAUUGUCAUAUCAGUAUUGUUCAUUGCCGAGUCUAUACCACAUUUUGGUUCGAUUUUAUCACUUGUUGGUGGUUUGACAACAACACUUCUAUCGUAUGUCUUUCCAUGCAUAUUUUAUACGAAACUAUGCAAGAAUGAUCACGUAACUGAGAGAAAUACAAUUAAGAGUAAAACUGACAUACAAAAACAAUCGGAAUCACAAUCGCUAUUGGAAAGUAUAGAUAACACAGGCUCAUGGCAAAUAAGAGAACAGUCCAGCACUCCUAUAGAAGACGCAGCAUUAGUGGGAAGAAGAGAACAUUCCAUCACUCCAGUUGAUGUUCGACGAGCUAUUUUGCAUAAUACAAGGAAUUCUUCUGAAAUAUAUAUUCCACUGUGGCAGAGAGUUUUCAGUUUAGAGAUUAUAUUUAUUGGAAUCAUAGGUGGCGUUGCGGCGACUGUGUCUGCCAUUAUUGCCAUAGCUAGUCCAAAUAGUUUAUCUGUACCGUGCUAUGUUCAUCUACAAGGAACGUAAAGAUUGGCAAUAGAUAAUGUUUAAUUGCAUACAAUGCAAAUUUUUCAGUGUUUUAAACAUCUUUAAUAAAGUGUAAAAAAUAUCAUGAUAAAUGUGGUGAACAAUGGUACCCUUUUCGUAGUGGACGAUUUAUUUUGAAUGCUUUUGUAAAAUUGUCAAAGGAUACAUUUUUUUUAAUUAACAAAAAGUUUGUUUAUAGAUAACCUUCGAUAAUUUGUAUCCACAUGUAAUCUGUUUUAAGUUUAUACGUGUUUUACAUGUUUUUAUACGUAUUUUACUGUCUAACUUGUUGACUCUGAACAAUCUUAAUAGAUGUUAUUUAUUAGA